AACGAACGCUGGCGGCAUGCCUAACACAUGCAAGUCGAACGAGACCUUCGGGUCUAGUGGCGCACGGGUGCGUAACGCGUGGGAACCUGCCCUUAGGUUCGGAAUAACUCCCCGAAAGGGGUGCUAAUACCGGAUAAUGUCUUCGGACCAAAGAUUUAUCGCCUUUGGAUGGGCCCGCGUUGGAUUAGCUAGUUGGUAGGGUAAAAGCCUACCAAGGCGACGAUCCAUAGCUGGUCUGAGAGGAUGAUCAGCCACACUGGGACUGAGGCACGGCCCAGACUCCUACGGGAGGCCGCAGUGGGGAAUAUUGGACAAUGGGCGAAAGCCUGAUCCAGCAAUGCCGCGUGAGUGAUGAAGGCCUUAGGGUUGUAAAGCUCUUUUACCCGGGAUGAUAAUGACAGUACCGGGAGAAUAAGCUCCGGCUAACUCCGUG
rnacentral:rRNA from 1 species